AUGGGGCUCUUCUCCGGCAACAUCAGCAAGUCGAAGGGCAAGGCCCCCGUCGUCCCCUUCCCCGCAGAGUUCACCCCGCCUCCGCCUGCGCCGACUCGCCGGCAGAGGCAGCGGGUGAACGUGCCCGUGCACCAGGCAGAGUGGCACUGGCGCCACCGCGUGCCGCUGUCGUACCCCGACGUGAUGCUGCCGCACGACUGGCAUCUGGAUCCGAAAAGGAUCCCAGUGCCGGCGGCGCCGCGGUCGGCUAGGGCGCAUGCGGAGGAGGUGCGUCGCCGGCGGGCGCUCCUGACGCCGGAGCAGCGCCGCGACGAGGCGUACGCCUUUGACUCGCCCAACUGGGCGCGCUGGUUCGCCUUCGAGCACGAGGAGGCGAGGCGGCGCGGCGUGCGGGAGCGCCUACCAGGCGGCCCUUGUGGCCGUCUACCGAGAGAGCGAGAAGGACGAGCGGCGCAGGGCGGAGGCGGCAGAAGAAGAGGAAGCUCGGUACGAGGCGGCCAUGGCCCUCUCCGUGACCGGUGA
rnacentral:rRNA from 1 species